UGACGCUGGCGGCUGCUUUACACAUGCAAGUCGAGCGGCAGCGCGGGGGCAACCCUGGCGGCGAGCGGCGAACGGGUGAGUAAUGGAUAGGAACGUAUCCGGGAGUGGGGGAUAACUAGCCGAAAGGUUAGCUAAUACCGCAUAUUCUCUUAGGAGGAAAGCAGGGGACCAGAAAUGGCCUUGCGCUCGCGGAGUGGCCUAUCUCCGAUUAGCUGGUUGGUGAGGUAAAGGCUUACCAAGGCGACGAUCGGUAGCUGGUCUGAGAGGAUGAUCAGCCACACUGGGACUGAGACACGGCCCAGACUCCUACGGGAGGCAGCAGUGGGGAAUAUUGGACAAUGGGCGAAAGCCUGAUCCAGCAAUGCCGCGUGAGUGAUGAAGGCCUUAGGGUUGUAAAGUUCUUUUACCCGGGAAGAUAAUGACUGUACCGGGAGAAUAAGCCCCGGCUAACUCCGUGCCAGCAGCCGCGGUAAUACGGAGGGGGCUAGCGUUGUUCGGAAUUACUGGGCGUAAGGCGCACGUAGGCGGCUUUGUAAGUUAGAGGUGAAAGCCCGGGGCUCAACUCCGGAAUUGCCUUUAAGACUGCAUCGCUAGAAUUGUGGAGAGGUGAGUGGAAUUCCGAGGUGUAGAGGUGAAAUUCGUAGAUUAUCCGGAAAGAACACCAGUGGCGAAGGCGACUCAC
rnacentral:rRNA from 1 species